rnacentral:rRNA from 1 species
CCUACGGGAGGCAGCAGUGGGGAAUAUUGGACAAUGGGCGCAAGCCUGAUCCAGCCAUGCCGCGUGAAUGAUGAAGGCCCUAGGGUUGUAAGGCUCUUUCACCGGUGAGGAUAAUGACGGUAACCGGAGAAGGAGCCCCGGCUAACUUCGUGCCAGCAGCCGCGGUAAU